rnacentral:rRNA from 1 species
AUUGAACGCUGGCGGCAUGCUUUACACAUGCAAGUCGAACGGCAGCACGGGUGCUUGCACCUGGUGGCGAGUGGCGAACGGGUGAGUAAUAUAUCGGAACGUACCCGGAAAUGGGGGAUAACGUAGCGAAAGUUACGCUAAUACCGCAUAUGCCCUGAGGGGGAAAGCGGGGGAUUCGCAAGAACCUCGCGUUUUCGGAGCGGCCGAUAUCGGAUUAGCUAGUAGGUGAGGUAAAGGCUCACCUAGGCGACGAUCCGUAGCUGGUCUGAGAGGACGACCAGCCACACUGGAACUGAGACACGGUCCAGACUCCUACGGGAGGCAGCAGUGGGGAAUUUUGGACAAUGGGCGCAAGCCUGAUCCAGCCAUGCCGCGUGAGUGAAGAAGGCCUUCGGGUUGUAAAGCUCUUUCAGCCGGAAAGAAAACG